rnacentral:rRNA from 1 species
UACGGGGGGGGCAAGCGUUGUUCGGAAUUACUGGGCGUAAAGGGCGCGUAGGCGGUGCUCUAAGUCGGAUGUGAAAACUCUGGGCUCAACCCAGAGCCUGCAUCCGAAACUGGAGUGCUAGAGUUCUGGAGGGGGUAGCGGAAUUCCUGGUGUAGCGGUGAAAUGCGUAGAGAUCGUAAGGAAGACCAGUGGCGAAGGCGGGUCUCUGGACAGUUCCUGACACUGAGGCACGAAGGCCAGGGGAGCAAACGGG